rnacentral:sRNA from 1 species
CCCUACCCAUUAGCCCCAAGAUCAUAGAAAAAUCUUCCAAGCUGGAAACUGGUUGACAAUGAUCCUGACUUUCAGUAGGUGUGUUUUUUAAACUCUGUAUACCUUUUUCCUCUACCUGUGUUGUUAUUUGAAUAUGAAGUUGGGAGAAGACAUAUCAGAGAUUCCCAAUCUAAUACGUUUUAAAUUUGACGUUUUUUUCCCUUAGACUAGCAUUAAUUGUGUUUCACAACAAAACGAGAUAGCAUUUCAUCUCACGGGACAGUACACUAGAUUUCAUGAAGUCUCAUAUUAUUUACAGUAAAAAGUUUCUUUCAUAAACGCGCUUUUUUCAAGAACAAUUUACCAUGAUGAUGUCUUGAAAACACAGAAUUUAGGCUCUGCCACAAAUUUGCUUUAACAUGUAAUGAUUCAUCAAGUUUUGUUCUCCAUAUACUAUUUUAGGGAGUACUGCUUGGCAGUAAAGGAGCUCUUCUGUGCAAAAGAAUGGCUGGCAAUGGAGGAGAAGACCCACAGAGGACUCUACAGAUCCGAGAUGCAUUUGCUGUCCGUGCCAGAAUGCAGCAAGCUUCCCAGCAUGCAUUGGGACCCCACGGCCUGUGCCAGACUGCCACAUCUAGAGAAUCAGCAGCAGUAACCCUCACCACACUGCCUUCUGAGCUCUUACUAGAUAGACUUCAUCCCAACCCCAUGUACCAGAGGAUGCCGCUCCUUCUGAACCCCAAAUUGCUCAGCCUGGAGUAUCCAAGGAAUAACAUUGAAUAUGUGAGAGACAUCGGAGAGGGAGCGUUUGGAAGGGUGUUUCAAGCAAGGGCACCAGGCUUACUUCCCUAUGAACCUUUCACUAUGGUGGCAGUAAAGAUGCUCAAAGAAGAAGCCUCGGCAGAUAUGCAAGCGGACUUUCAGAGGGAGGCAGCCCUCAUGGCAGAAUUUGACAACCCUAACAUUGUGAAGCUAUUAGGUAUGAAAAUACAAGUGAGGAUAUGUAUUUCAUCAGAAAACAGAGGCUUUCCAAGUUUUUCUCCCCUUGUUCAUGCUUUUUCCUUUUCUCCUUGAUCAGUGAGACGUUUCAGUUCCUUUUCAAAUUUAGCUUCUUCACCUUGGUCUAUCCCAACCCUAUAGGACAUUCAUGGCUUAAUGGAUUAUCCCUCUUUAAAUUCAUCACUUCAAUUUGUCUCUGUCUUUGCUGCCUCCUUACUAUUUAUAAAAAUGUUUAAAAUGUCCCCAU